rnacentral:rRNA from 1 species
UCGAGGGGCAGCACGGUGUAGCAAUACACUGGUGGCGACCGGCGCACGGGUGCGUAACGCGUAUGCAACCUGCCCGAUACCGGGGUAUAGCCCAUGGAAACGUGGAUUAACACCCCAUAAUAUUCGGAGAGACAUCUCUCCGGGUUGAAAACUCCGGUGGUUAUAGAUGGACAUGCGUUGUAUUAGCUAGUUGGUGAGGUAACGGCUCACCAAGGCAACGAUACAUAGGGGGACUGAGAGGUUAACCCCCACACUGGUACUGAGACACGGACCAGACUCC